GUGGCAGCCGCCGCGGUAAUACGAAGGGACCUAGCGUAGUUCGGAAUUACUGGGCUUAAAGAGUUCGUAGGUGGUUAAAAAAGUUGGUGGUGAAAUCCCAGAGCUUAACUCUGGAACUGCCAUCAAAACUUUUUAGCUAGAGUAUGAUAGAGGAAAGUAGAAUUUCUAGUGUAGAGGUGAAAUUCGUAGAUAUUAGAAAGAAUACCGAUUGCGAAGGCAGCUUUCUGGGUCAUUACUGACACUGAGGAACGAAAGCAUGGGUAGCGAAGAGGAUUAGAUACCCUCGUAGUCCAUGCCGUAAACGAUGUGUGCUAGACGUUGGAGAUUUAUUUUCAGUGUCGCAGCGAAAGCAUUAAGCACACCGCCUGGGGAGUACGACCGCAAGGUUAAAACUCAAAUGAAUUGACGGGGACCCGCACAAGCAAUGGAGCAUGUGGUUUAAUUCGAAGAUACGCGCAGAACCUUACCAACACUUGACAUGUUCGUCGCGACUUUAAGAGAUUGAAGUCUUCGGUUCGGCCGGACGAAACACAGGUGCUGCAUGGCUGUCGUCAGCUCGUGUCGUGAGAUGUUGGGUUAAGUCCCGCAACGAGCGCAACCCUUACUUUUAGUUGCCACCAUUUAGUUGAGCACUCUAAAAGAACUGCCAGUGAUAAGCUGGAGGAAGGUGGGGAUGACGUCAAGUCCUCAUGGCCCUUACGUGUUGGGCUACACACGUGCUACAAUGGCACUCACAAUAGGAAGCAAAGAGGCGACUCCAAGCAAAUCCUAAAAAAGUGCCUCAGUUCGGAUUGUACUCUGCAACUCGAGUACAUGAAGCUGGAAUUGCUAGUAAUCGCGGAUCAGCGUGCCGCGGUGAAUACGUUCCCGGGUCUUGCACACACCGCCCGUC
rnacentral:rRNA from 1 species